rnacentral:rRNA from 1 species
UUGAACGCUGGCGGCAUGCCUUACACAUGCAAGUCGCACGGUAACAGGUUAAGCUGACGAGUGGCGAACGGGUGAGUAAUGUAUCGGAACGUGCCCAGUCGUGGGGGAUAACUGCUCGAAAGAGCAGCUAAUACCGCAUACGACCUGAGGGUGAAAGCGGGGGAUCGCAAGACCUCGCGCGAUUGGAGCGGCCGAUAUCAGAUUAGGUAGUUGGUGAGGUAAAGGCUCACCAAGCCGACGAUCUGUAGCUGGUCUGAGAGGACGACCAGCCACACUGGGACUGAGACACGGCCCAGACUCCUACGGGAGGCAGCAGUGGGGAAUUUUGGACAAUGGGCGCAAGCCUGAUCCAGCCAUGCCGCGUGCGGGAAGAAGGCCUUCGGGUUGUAAACCGCUUUUGUCAGGGAAGAAAAGGUUCUGGCUAAUACCUGGGACUCAUGACGGUACCUGAAGAAUAAGCACCGGCUAACUACGU